CGUAUCACCCAAGACAACUUUACGGAGUUGACGAUUGACGGAGCGAAGCGACGUCAAAGCGUUCAUUAAAGUCGAGUUGGCUUAGGGAUACGUUCGUUGGGUAGGGGAGCGUUCUGUAAGCCUGUGAAGGUGUGUCGUGAGGCAUGCUGGAGGUAUCAGAAGUGCGAAUGCUGACAUAAGUAACGAUAAAGCGGGUGAAAAGCCCGCUCGCCGGAAGACCAAGGGUUCCUGUCCAACGUUAAUCGGGGCAGGGUGAGUCGACCCCUAAGGCGAGGCCGAAAGGCGUAGUCGAUGGGAAACGGGUUAAUAUUCCCGUACUUGGUGUUACUGCGAAGGGGGGACGGAGAAGGCUAUGUUGGCCGGGCGACGGUUGUCCCGGUUUAAGCGUGUAGGUGUGUGUUCCAGGUAAAUCCGGUUCACUUUAACACUGAGGCGUGACGACGAGGCACUACGGUGCUGAAGCAACAAAUGCCCUGCUUCCAGGAAAAGCCUCUAAGCAUCAGGUAACAUCAAAUCGUACCCCAAACCGACACAGGUGGUCAGGUAGAGAAUACCAAGGCGCUUGAGAGAACUCGGGUGAAGGAACUAGGCAAAAUGGUGCCGUAACUUCGGGAGAAGGCACGCUGACACGUAGGUGAAGUGAUUUACUCAUGGAGCUGAAGUCAGUCGAAGAUACCAGCUGGCUGCAACUGUUUAUUAAAAACACAGCACUGUGCAAACACGAAAGUGGACGUAUACGGUGUGACGCCUGCCCGGUGCCGGAAGGUUAAUUGAUGGGGUCAGCGCAAGCGAAGCUCCUGAUCGAAGCCCCGGUAAACGGCGGCCGUAACUAUAACGGUCCUAAGGUAGCGAAAUUCCUUGUCGGGUAAGUUCCGACCUGCACGAAUGGCGUAAUGAUGGCCAGGCUGUCUCCACCCGAGACUCAGUGAAAUUGAACUCGCUGUGAAGAUGCAGUGUACCCGCGGCAAGACGGAAAGACCCCGUGAACCUUUACUAUAGCUUGACACUGAACAUUGAGCCUUGAUGUGUAGGAUAGGUGGGAGGCUUUGAAGUGUGGACGCCAGUCUGCAUGGAGCCGACCUUGAAAUACCACCCUUUAAUGUUUGAUGUUCUAACGUGGACCCGUAAUCCGGGUUGCGGACAGUGUCUGGUGGGUAGUUUGACUGGGGCGGUCUCCUCCUAAAGAGUAACGGAGGAGCACGAAGGUUGGCUAAUCCUGGUCGGACAUCAGGAGGUUAGUGCAAUGGCAUAAGCCAGCUUGACUGCGAGCGUGACGGCGCGAGCAGGUGCGAAAGCAGGUCAUAGUGAUCCGGUGGUUCUGAAUGGAAGGGCCAUCGCUCAACGGAUAAAAGGUACUCCGGGGAUAACAGGCUGAUACCGCCCAAGAGUUCAUAUCGACGGCGGUGUUUGGCACCUCGAUGUCGGCUCAUCACAUCCUGGGGCUGAAGUAGGUCCCAAGGGUAUGGCUGUUCGCCAUUUAAAGUGGUACGCGAGCUGGGUUUAGAACGUCGUGAGACAGUUCGGUCCCUAUCUGCCGUGGGCGCUGGAGAACUGAGGGGGGCUGCUCCUAGUACGAGAGGACCGGAGUGGACGCAUCACUGGUGUUCGGGUUGUCAUGCCAAUGGCACUGCCCGGUAGCUAAAUGCGGAAGAGAUAAGUGCUGAAAGCAUCUAAGCACGAAACUUGCCCCGAGAUGAGUUCUCCCUGAGACUUAGAGUCUCCUGAAGGAACGUUGAAGACGACGACGUUGAUAGGCCGGGUGUGUAAGCGCAGCGAUGCGUUGAGCUAACCGGUACUAAUGAACCGUGAGGCUUAACCUU
rnacentral:rRNA from 2 species